AACAGUAUAAAACAAAGAGAUUAUCACAUGCGCAGGUUAGCUGCAGUUGAACAAAAACGAAAGGAAAAAGGAAGAUUUGAAGUCUCUAUUUUCGUCUGUAUUUAUCACUAAACGCUGACUCUGACACAUAAUUUGGCAAUUGCUUGUACGAUUGGACAAAAAAAAAGUACCCGUAUGAGUUCUCAUAUGUCUUUUAAGUAGACUUGGCCGGUCGAAGGCUUUUCUGCAGACUUCACAAGGUGAGAUUGCAGUGAAGUCCUUUAUUUCGUCCAUCGAUGUUGAUGAUGUAGUUGAGUUGUCAGUUGUACUAUCAACCAGUGAUAAUAAGGAUCCAGAAGAAUCGCUCAACACAGACUUUUGUUCAUCCUCACUAAUCGGCGGAGAUAGUGAGUCAAUAGGGUGAUCACUCUCCCAUGACGCUGGGAAGUCUUGAAGACGGACUCGAGAUAUUUUAAAGAAGUUCUCACAGUUUUCUUUAACGCUUCAGCAGUUAGUUACUGCAAGCCUGAGAAAAAUUCAGAGAGGGGCUGAAUCGUUCACACUACAUAUGUAUGAGCAAAAGAGAUGCACGUAAUUGGUGGGUUAAAACACCGACGUCGGAUGCUACCUACAACUGCUACUGCACAAUCAGACGGACAAGCAGGCACGCCAGUUAAUAUUCAUCAAACAUAUACAUACUAUAUACUUUUUCGUUUUACAUUUCAUGCACCAAGAAGAAAGCUGCUAUUUCCGGUUGUGACCUACUUUAACGAAAAGAACGAAGGAUGCCACUCAAUAUUGGACUCACAUUUUAUUAGUCCCAAGUGUUUAAAAUGCAAAAUGAAUCUCCGCACCCAUUUCUUUCAAUGCUCAACAAAUACUGCGUGAUCAGGAUCGCUUGAAUCGGCCAUGACCUUCUUGAAGAAAAACUGCAAACACUUAAAAUACCAAUACCAUUCAGACAUAACAUACUCACAAGACACACAAGCAUACACAUACUAAAAGUCGUCUCGCGGACAAGACCAGCGGCCAUCCAGCAAAAUUAAGAGUCAGGCUCAUUUAACUCAAUGCUCCACUACGUUACCAAAACAAGAUCAACAUUACACAACGCUACGGCUAUCAAUUGAUCUCAAACAAACUCGUCUUGAACGCUCUGGCACGGGUACGAGCACCUGCUCACGUUUGGGCACUGUGGCAUAUGUAUGUAUGUACUACCUUUAUUCGUUGCUUGCAGGCAUCGUUUGAUGUACAUACAUAUGUAUUUAUGUAUUAACAGGUAGCAACUUGACUUCUCCCCAAGAGGAAGACCGUUUUGGCGUCCGUCACCUGUUGCAUUGUGAGGUGAGCGAGCGGCUUGUUAUCAUUACCUCAAUAUUCUGCAGUCCCUUUAGUUUUCUGCUGUUGCCGUUGCCGUUGCAUUAUUGUACUCUUCUUGAGUGGCAAUUAGAGUUUUACCUAGGGUAUUUUGAAUGAAUUUCAGUGUGAGCGGUUAUUUCUCAGGAUCAUUGGCAGAACUUGCUUGUGCUUCUUACUUUUGCACUCUUUCCAUCUCUGUCUCUCUCUCUCUCUGUCAUACCUACAAGUCAACACUAAAAAGUUGCUUACCGAGUUACACUCAACAAAUCCACUUCCACUUCUGGACGGAACAGGUGCAGGCACCUGGCCCGCAACUACUACUCCCAUUCAUAACGUCGAUGUCGUAAUUUUACUCAAGUCUUUAGUCAAAAUCCGGUUUCUUAAAGUUGAGUGAAAAUGUAGUAAGAAUAUUUUCUUGUCUGGUCUGUGCUAUCGGCAUCUCUUUCAUUGCUUUGGAUGAGUAAAAUAGACACGCCCACUUUUAUACUC